rnacentral:miRNA from 11 species
AAAUUCGGUUCUAGAGAGGUUCG